GGUGUGCAAACAGGAAGGACCUCUCCCCGGGCAGUGAGUAAGGAGGGAAAAAUGAGGUGUUGAAAAGAUGACAAGUCGCCCUGUCAGAGCUCACCUUGGCAGGGAGCAGGCGGCAGGGGCCGGCGGGUGGUGGGGGAAGGUCUGCCCUUGGAAGCUAGCCUACGGGUGCCCAGAGCCCCAGUGAUGAUCGGCAACAAGCAGGCACUGUGUAUGCGUUUGUUUGGUUUAGAACAGUCUGCCCCCUCCCACUCCCACCAUCAAAGAUUCUUUCCCUUCCUUCCCAGUAGGAAGAGUACUGGGGGCUGCGGGCCACAGGCCGGGUGCGACUGGAGGGAGGGGCGGUGGGAGGAGGCAGCUGGAGGCCCAGGGCCUCUUCUGAACUUCUGGUAUCCCACAGCCUCCUGGACAUCCCCUGGCCUGUUUCAAAGGCACCUCCAACUCCACACAUCCUAACCUGAAUUCAUCAGUGCCUCUCCGAUCUCCAAAACCCUGCAUUGUGUCCCUCCUAUGGGGUUCCUAUCUCAGUACAUGACCUCAUCAGCCAGUCACCCAAGCCAAAAUCCUGGGAGUCAUCCAACACUUCUUCAUACUCGCAAUCGGAUCGGCCUCCCAAUCUGGUCUUCACCUGGCUGAACCAGACCUCCUAUCCACUUGCCUUUGAAGUUGCUUGAAAGGGCCAGUGAAAUCACUGAAGGUCAAGGCCAAAAAAACAAAGCCAAAACCAAGGUGGAAAGUGUAACGGCUGGCACCUUCAAUGAAUUCACCAAACAACCUACUCUCAAAAAUGACUGCUUGGUGUCUAGCGGCCUCUGAGGCCUGCAGUUCUAGAACCGUGGCCCCAGGUGCCAAUGAAGAGUCCAUUCCAUCUUCAACCGAGUUUUUCAACAGAGACCUCUUGACCCUUGACUAUUUGGGAUGUAUCACUUGAUGAGGAAAACAGGCACAUGAACAGACUACAUUAACAAGUGUGCCUGCCAUUUGGGGCUCUUAGUCACAACAGAAACCAACUCUAGUUAACUUCAUCAGAAAAGUUUUAUUGGAAAGUGAGGGAGGAGCUUGGGGAAUUGUCAAUCAGAAACUGGCAAGAACAAGGAAACUGGGCAGCCAGACACAGCCACUGCCUGCCACUGGAGCUAUGGGCCUCCAGCACCAUCAGCAGGGGACCCAUGUCGCUGCAGUCCUGGAUUGUCACCACUGUUGCCACCAUCACCACCAAAGCAGCAUAGGAGUAAACACUUCAGGACCCUCUUCCCCAGAAUUCCUCCCUCCAGACUUCAAGGAAUGGAUGUCUCAUGGGUUUAGCUGAGGUUCCAGGUUCAAGUGCAAGCUGCUCAGGAUUCAUGGGCUUCAUGGGCUUCCCUGGCAAAGGUGUCUUCCCUCCCCCAAGACACUGCUAUGGCAGGUUUCUCCAACACCAGCAGGGGCCCUCAGGCAUUGGGUAGAACAAUUUCCCUUUUCCUGGAUUGACUAAUUCUGACUAAAGGGAAAUUAAGGUCAGUUGCUAUCCUGUGGGAGAGGGAGGAAAUGAUCAGGACCCAGGGUACUCCUAAAAUAUCUCCUGGUGUGGUUCCUGUCAAAGGCACAGAAAAAUUUCAUGGAAAACCACAACCAGAUAAGACCCUCCAUGGACACUGGUUUUGCUACUCGAUGACCAGAUGAGGCACCGCUGAAGGCCAAGGGAAACACAGAAUGUCUGGCAAGGAAUGAAGUCCUAAGGAUCAGCUUGGCCAGCUGCAGAAAAAGGGGCCACAAAUUCUGUUUCUGUACAUGCAUUGGGAAUUUUUUUUUUAAUUGGUCACAUUUUUUAUUUUGCCUUCAGGCUGCCUACCAGACCACAUCUAUUUCAUUAAUAAUCAUGAAAAUGGUGUCACUGUUUUUUUUUUUUUAAAUCAAGCAAAUGCAUUAUUCUAGGUGAAAAAUCAAGAGUCCCCUUCCUCACCCCUUGGCACUGAUCCUCCAUUUCUUCUCAGAGGCAUUCUCUACCAUCAGUAUGUCACCUUCCAGACCUUUCUUAUGCAUUCUCCAAGUAUACUUUGGUUUUGUAAGUCUUCAUUGUGCCUUAAGACUGUACAUGUUUUCUACACUAAGCUUAACAUUAGGUCUUGGAAAUCUUUCUGUAUCAGUACUUGAUACAGCUUGUAACUGCUGCAUAGUAUUAAUUUCAUAAGGACCAAAGUAGCCACAUUGGGGACAAGGACAUGAGCCACAUUCCUAUUGAUAGGUACAACGUACACUACUCUCUAAAAAGGUUGAUGUUGUUUAUAUGCACAUCAACCACUGGUCUUUUCAUUUCUUCUCUUCCUAGCCCAAACUGGGUAUGAUCAGGAGGAACUAUUGGUUUCUGAAGGACACCGUGUUUCACCUGGUGUGUUAAUUUACA